UUUCGAGUGAAUGCUAUCUAGGGACUUGACACAUGCGAGUCGAAUGCCAAAUACUUGUAUUUGAACAUGGCGAACGGGUGAGUAACGAAUAGGCAAGCUACCCAUAGGAUUGGUGGAAUACCAAAUAUUAAAAAGGAUUAAUUCCGCCUAUGGAUGUACCUAUUGAAUAGAUUAGGUAGUUGGUAAGGUAACGGCUUACCAAGCCAAUGAUCUAUAGUUGGUCUGAGAGGACGAUCAACCACAGUGGGAAUGAGAAAGGCCCACACGAGCAAAGUAUCGGCAGCAGUGCGGAAUCUUGGUCAAUGGCCGAAAGGCUGAACCAGUCACCUAGAAGGACGGAUACAUUAAUUUGAUAAAGUCCUAACGGAAAGGAGGAUAAUGACUGUACUUUCCUAUUAAUCCCGACCAAUCUCGUGCCAGCAGUCGCGGUAAUACGAGAGGGNNGUAUCAUAAGACUGGAAGGUAUCGAACUAAAUGAAUAAGAGCUUUUCAGUAACUAUGAAACUAGAGUGUAAUGGAGGAAAGAGGAACUCCGAGAGUAGGGAUGGAAUCUGUUGAUCCUCGGAAGACCGCUUAAGGCGAAGGCUUCUUUCUAACUAAACACUGACGCUGAGGUACGAAAGUAUGGGGAGCAAAACGGAUUAGAGACCCGUGUAGUCCAUACCGUAAACGAUGAGUGCCUUAGAUUGGUUAUUAAUCAGUCUAUAAAUGUAGAUUAAAGCACUCCACCUGGGGAGUACUGCCGCAAGGUUGAAACCCAAAAGUAUAGAGGGUCUUGAAAACCAGCAGUGAAGCAUGUUGUUUAAUGUGAUGAUCCGCACAACAUCUUACCACUCCUUGAAUGCUACACAGGCGUUGCAUGGCUGUCUUCAGUUCGUGUCGUGAGAUGUAAGGUUAAGUCCGCAUAACGAACAAAACCCCUGCAACUAGUUAAUAUCUAGUUGAGCAUCCAGUGAUAAACUGGAAUAAUUGGGACUAAGACAAGCCCUCAUGGCCCUUAUGGAGUGGGCUACAGACGUGCAGCUAGGGGGAAUACAAAAGGAUCCAAUAAGGUAACUUGGAGGUAAUCCCCAAAUUUCCCCUUUGUGGAUUGAGCUCUGUAACUCGAGCUCAUGAAUUAGGAAUUGCUAGUAAUCGUGAAUCACCACGUCACGGUGAAAUUAAAGCUUCAAGAUCUACUAACUGCCUGUCACGGGCUGGGAGUAAGCUAUACCUGAAGUUGUCUAAAAACAUCCAAGGAUAGUAAACGACUGGUCUGAAGUCAUAACAAGGUAGCCGUUCGGGAACGAGUGGCUG
rnacentral:rRNA from 1 species